AGUGCAUAUGGUGGAUGCCUUGGCGAUCACAGGCGAUGAAGGACGUAGUAGCCUGCGAAAAGCUGCGGGGAGCUGGCAAACAAGCUUUGAUCCGCAGAUGUCCGAAUGGGGAAACCCACUCCGUAAGGAGUAUCCCUGACUGAAUACAUAGGUCAGUGGAAGCGAACCGGGUGAACUGAAACAUCUCAGUAGCUCGAGGAAAAGAAAUCAACCGAGAUUCCGAAAGUAGUGGCGAGCGAAAUCGGAAGAGCCUUUACGUUUUAGCAUUCAGGAUAGUCGAACGGGAUGGAAAGCCCGGCCGUAGCAGGUGAUAGCCCUGUAGACGAAAUUUUGAGUGUGGAACUAAGCGUAAGAAAAGUAGGGCGGGACACGUGAAAUCCUGUUUGAAGAUGGGGGGACCAUCCUCCAAGGCUAAAUACUCGUGAUCGACCGAUAGUGAACCAGUACCGUGAGGGAAAGGCGAAAAGAACCCCGGAAGGGGAGUGAAAUAGAUCCUGAAACCGUAUGCAUACAAACAGUAGGAGCCCCCUUGUGGGGUGACUGCGUACCUUUUGUAUAAUGGGUCAGCGACUUACAUUCAGUGGCAAGGUUAACCGAAUAGGGAAGCCGUAGCGAAAGCGAGUCCGAAUAGGGCGAUUCAGUCGCUGGGUGUAGACCCGAAACCAGAUGAUCUAUCCAUGGCCAGGUUGAAGGCACGGUAACACGUGCUGGAGGACCGAACCCACUAAUGUUGAAAAAUUAGGGGAUGAGCUGUGGAUAGGGGUGAAAGGCUAAACAAAUCUGGAAAUAGCUGGUUCUCUCCGAAAACUAUUUAGGUAGUGCCUCAAGUAUUACUGCGGGGGGUAGAGCACUGUUAUAGCUAGGGGGUCAUGGCGACUUACCAAACUAUGGCAAACUCCGAAUACCCGCAAGUACAGCUUGGGAGACAGAGCACCGGGUGCUAACGUCCGGACUCAAGAGGGAAACAACCCAGACCGCCAGCUAAGGUCCCAAAUUAUCGCUAAGUGGGAAACGAAGUGGGAAGGCAUAGACAGUCAGGAGGUUGGCUUAGAAGCAGCCAUCCUUUAAAGAAAGCGUAAUAGCUCACUGAUCGAGUCGUCCUGCGCGGAAGAUGUAACGGGGCUAAGCGAUAAACCGAAGCUGCGGGUGUGCACUUUGUGCACGCGGUAGGAGAGCGUUCUGUAAGCCUGCGAAGGUGGCUUGUAAAGGCUGCUGGAGGUAUCAGAAGUGCGAAUGCUGACAUGAGUAGCGAUAAAGGGGGUGAAAAGCCCCCUCGCCGUAAGUCCAAGGUUUCCUGCGCAACGUUCAUCGGCGCAGGGUGAGUCGGCCCCUAAGGCGAGGCAGAGAUGCGUAGCUGAUGGGAAGCUGGUUAAUAUUCCAGCACCGUCGUACAGUGCGAUGGGGGGACGGAUCGCGGAAGAUCAUCAGGGUGUUGGAUGUCCCUGUUGCUGCAUCGAAGAUGGCGCUUAGGCAAAUCCGGGCGCGUAAAUCAAGGGUGUGGCACGAGCGAGCAUUGCUUGCGAAGUGAUUGGAAGUGGUUCCAAGAAAAGCCUCUAAGCUUCAGCUGUGCGAGACCGUACCGCAAACCGACACAGGUGGACGGGAUGAAUAUUCCAAGGCGCUUGAGAGAACUCAGGAGAAGGAACUCGGCAAAUUGAUACCGUAACUUCGGGAGAAGGUAUACCCCGGUAGUGUGAAGCGCCUGCGCGCUUAGCAUGAUGGGGUCGCAGAGAAUCGGUGGCUGCGACUGUUUAUUAAAAACACAGCACUCUGCAAAGACGAAAGUCGACGUAUAGGGUGUGACGCCUGCCCGGUGCCGGAAGGUUAAGUGAUGGGGUGCAAGCUCUUGAUCGAAGCCCCGGUAAACGGCGGCCGUAACUAUAACGGUCCUAAGGUAGCGAAAUUCCUUGUCGGGUAAGUUCCGACCUGCACGAAUGGCGUAACGAUGGCCACACUGUCUCCUCCUGAGACUCAGCGAAGUUGAAGUGUUUGUGAUGAUGCAAUCUACCCGCGGCUAGACGGAAAGACCCCAUGAACCUUUACUGUAGCUUUGCAUUGAUCUGUGAACCGGCCUGUGUAGGAUAGGUGGGAGGCUUUGAAGCGUGGUCGCUAGAUCACGUGGAGCCAUCCUUGAAAUACCACCCUGGUUUG
rnacentral:rRNA from 1 species